rnacentral:tRNA from 1 species
GGCUUUAUAGUCUAAAUAAGAUUUUAAAUUGCAAGUUUAAGGAUGAUUAUUUCUAAAGCUU